AUGAAAAAAGAGUGUAGUAAACCAUUGUUAACUUUAAUAAUCGUUUUUGCAUAAGACCAUUAGUUUUUAAAACAGUAAUAGUCUAAAAACAAUUAAUGAAAAAUUAAAAUGACGCGAGGUGUGUAACUUGCAGCUUGUAAAGCGCAAAAUGUUUGAAAAUCGUAAAAUGCAUUGCCGCCUCACGCUUGUUAUGCAUAUCCACCUUUACUCCGCGCCUGUUACUGUUAUUGUAGUGAAGGAUUUGUGAAAUAUUUACUGUCGUCGUUUCGAAUAGAGCCGAAGGAAAUAUCAAACGAAUCAAUAUGAUGGAGGCAAUCCGCGAUGUAUGAUGAAACUCGCUCAGAAAAGACGGAAACGGGACACACUGUAUACAUCUGAGUAAUAAGAAAGAAAUGCUUUGCUUAUCUCAAAAUCAUUAGAGAUGGUAGUAUCGUUGACGAUAAUUAGCGAACGGAAGCCAGAUUUUCCAUUCCCCACAACAUUAUAAAUCUCUCUAAACGCCGAUGGGCCGGGCUUUAUCUUCUCCAACUGAAUAUUUGCGCAUGGUACAUAUUAAUUAGAUCUUUCAGGAUUAUCAUUAAAAGCCAAUUUGUUUUGAAAGAAUGUUAUACUCAACGCUAGCUCGGUUGCCAGUUCAAUGGCAUAUUUUUUGAGCACUUUUUACCACUGGUGUUUCACGCGGAGCAUUUUUUAAUAUUUUUAGGUAAUGUUGUUUUAUUACGUUUUAGUUGAAUUUUUUUUCGAAUGUCUACUGGCAGUUGCUAAGAUUUCCGUAUUCAGGAGGUUUAAUAGAGUUCAUGGCAAUAAUUAUGUUCGUCUUUUUAUAUGAGGUAUAAAAACGUGCAGGAUUUAAUAUAAACUCCAUAUUCUCUAAUCUCAAUUCCAAUUUUAAGGGGAAAUGGUCCUAGUAAUUCCAAAGUUUGGAACCUCCCUGUUUACAAAAUGUGCACUCAGAAGAAAGUGGUCCAGCAACGAGUCUCCAUUGGGGUAAGACGGCCUAAUAUCACAAAGUCGGGUAACUUCUAAUGAAGCCAAUUGUACAAAGUUUUUCCAUUCAUAUUUUCGGUGUGAUCACCCUUGGAUGUGUUCUUGGCGUUGAAAUCACCCCCCGAGAAUCAGACCAUCGAAACAGAUUGCUGUCUCAGGAAUCACGCUCAGUCCGACAGUCAAGGAUUCGCAAGAUAGAUUUUUAGGAAUGUAAACGAACCCAAUUAGAAUUCUCUCGAGUCGGCUGUUCUUAUUGAUUUUAUUUUUAAUAAAAUUAGUUUAAAAUUGGUUGAUAUCAAUAAAUACUUUUUCAAAUUAAA
rnacentral:misc_RNA from 1 species